rnacentral:rRNA from 1 species
UAAGGAAUAUUGGUCAAUGGACGCAAGUCUGAACCAGCCAUGCCGCGUGGAGGAUGAAUGUCGUAAGAUUGUAAACUCCUGUUAGAGGGGAAGAAUAGUACCGGUUGGACCGGUAUAUGACUGUACCCUCAGAGAAAGCCCCGGCUAACUACGUGCCAGCAGCCGCGGUAAUACGUAGGGGGCAAGCGUUGUCCGGAUUUACUGGGUGUAAAGGGCGCGCAGGCGGGAUAAAAAGUCAGUGGUGAAAUCCUACAGCUUAACUGUAGAACUGCCUUUGAUACUUUUAUUCUUGAGUUCGGGAGAGAGAGACGGAAUUCCAGGUGUAGUGGUGAAAUACGUAGAUAUCUGGAAGAACACCAGUUGCGAAGGCGGUCUCUUGGUCCGACACUGACGCUGAGGCGCGAAAGCGUGGGGAGCAAACA